GAGCCCCGCCUCCUGUUCUCCCUGGGGCCGUCGCUGCCGUACUUGCAUGCCGCGCGAGCAGCGAGGCCAGCGGAGGCGGUGGUGGAAGGGUGAUUCGACCUCCGCCUUCCACCCAGGCGAGCAGCGGUGCGCCGCGGAGAGCUGGUUGAACGCUAGCCGCACCAGGCACUCCCGGGCCAGAUGCGUCGUUCUCUUGUGCCUCCUGCACUCCUCAUGAUUCAAGUGCAUACACCAUGGCAGCAGCUUGCAAAGUGUUCGACAGAAUGCUCAUGAGGAGACUUGGGCAGCAACAUAAAGAUAGUAGUUGUCUGAUCUGCCUGUAGUGCUCUAACCAGUAACCACAU